rnacentral:rRNA from 1 species
AUUGAACGCUGGCGGCACGCCUAACACAUGCAAGUCGAGCGGUAGCAGUAUCUGUAGCAAUACAGAUAGCUGACGAGCGGCGGACGGGUGAGGAAGACGUAGGAAUCUACCCUUGAGCGGGGGACAACCAAGGGAAACUUUGGCUAAUACCGCAUAAACUCGAGAGAGAAAAGUUGCCUGCAAGGGUGACACUUGAGGAGGAGCCUGCGUCCGAUUAGCUAGUUGGUAGGGUAAAAGCCUACCAAGGCAAUGACCGGUAACUGGUCUUAGAGGACGGCCAGUCACACUGGGACUGAGACACGGCCCAGACUCCUACGGGAGGCAGCAGGGGGAAAUCUUGGACAAUGAGGGCAACCCUGAUCCAGCGAUGCCGCGUGAGUGAAGAAGGCCUUCGGGUCGUAAAGCUCUUUAGGUGGGGAAGAAGUGCUGCUACUGAAUAAGUGGCAGUGUUGACGGUACCGACAGAAUAAGCACCGGCAAACUCUGUGCCAGCAGCCGCGGUAA